GGCUGCAUGGCUUAGCGGUAACCAGCAGUCUUGGUCUCUGAGUAAAUUGGAGAUCACCGGGCCUCGCGAGAUCGAGGGUUCGAACCCCGGUAAAGCCG